rnacentral:rRNA from 1 species
AACGAACGCUGGCGGCAUGCCUAACACAUGCAAGUCGAACGAGACCUUCGGGUCUAGUGGCGCACGGGUGCGUAACGCGUGGGAACCUGCCCUUAGGUUCGGAAUAACUCCCCGAAAGGGGUGCUAAUACCGGAUAAUGUCUUCGGACCAAAGAUUUAUCGCCUUUGGAUGGGCCCGCGUUGGAUUAGCUAGUUGGUAGGGUAAAAGCCUACCAAGGCGACGAUCCAUAGCUGGUCUGAGAGGAUGAUCAGCCACACUGGGACUGAGACACGGCCCAGACUCCUAAGGGAGGAAGGAGUGGGGAAUAUUGGAAAAGGGGCGGAAGGCUGAUCCAGCAAUGCCGAGUGAGUGAUGAAGGCCUUAGGGUUGUAAAGCUAUUUUAACCGGGAUGAUAAUGACAGUACCGGGAGAAUAAGCUCCGGCUAACUCCGUG